rnacentral:lncRNA from 1 species
GGGGGCUGGGCGUCCCAGAGGAAUUGGUCUGGGGCAGGUUGGGACUGAGUCGCUGGCAGAGAGAGGGGACCACAGGAGUGUGGGUCCUUCACUCCUAGGAAAGCGCAGGAGGUGAGAGUGGACUUCCUUCUAGGGGUUCAAACACCAAGGGUGGCCUGUGGAGAGAACACAGGAUGGCAGAGCCUUGGAAAGCUAAAAAGAAACGAAAUGCGUGCUAAUGAGGAGGCUCCUGGCAGUGUCCAGGCCCUGGGACCCUGAGCGGGAAUGUGAUGCUGGUGCUGCCCCCUGAGCUCCUCGACGGCCUCCACAACGUCCUGCAGACCACUGCCCUCCCCAUGCCAAGGCUGAAGAGAAGGAAGGAGCAGCUUCACACUGCGGGACCUCACAGGACACUGCCUUGGCCACGUGGUCAGUGUUAACCUCCCCAGGACCAGGCACAUCUGACCAGCUGCCUCCCGCUGUGACCCCAUGGAAGGACUCAGUGUCAUCUGCAGGAUCUUGUCAGGAACGUACAGCCUGAAUCUGAUCAUGGGAAGUACCAGGGAGACCUCAACAGAGGAAUAUGCUGAAAAUGCUGCGGCUUGUCUUCUUCAAAAUCUUCAAAGUCAUACUGGGUGUGCUGGUGCAGCCUGUCAUCCCUGCAUUCUAGGAGGCUGAGGCAGGAGGAACAGAAGAGGAAGACCAGCCUGGGUGAAACCUUUCUCUUACUACUCCAUUCUCAAGGAGCCAGGACGUCUCCAGCUGAUGUAAUCUUGGCCUGGACUGUCACAGCAUCACCGGAGGUCUCAGCUGUGACCAGAGGCAAAAAUGGAGUUAUGCCUGGACAUGCCAUAGCCCCCCUGCAGGCAGGAAAACAAGGCCUAAACAUAAUUUAAUCUUGCAAUGCUUUUCCCCCAAAGUUAUGUAGACUUGCUCUUGACAUCAACCCAUGUAUAAUUUACUGUGGCAUGCGAGGCUAGAAUCUAACCUUUCUUGAGGCAGUUACCCUGGCCUGACAUUGUUUAUGAAUAACUCAUCCAUUUCACACUUAUUCAGAAUGAAAAUCCUUAUCAUAUAUUACAUUUUCAUUUUUCUCUUUUUUCUCCUGUAUCUCUUAAGAAAGAGGAUCAAGGGAUGGGUGGAGGGCAUAGAGAGGGAAGGGAAAGCAGAUGAAAAAGAAAUUAUGAUCUCUUAUGUACAUGUACCAACCUCCCACAAGGAAUGUAAGCAUUAUGUUCUACACAUAUGUACUAAUACACUAAAAUUUAAAAAUUAUCAUUCAAGAUUAAUAAAAAAUUUUAGUCAUUUGGG